UGAAGUUAGAGAAGGGUGAAGGGAUGUUGGCACGGGCCUCUGAUGCAAGGGAAAUGGUGCCAUCCCUCCUGCCGGUCUGAACUUCCCAUAAAGACCUGUUAAACUGCCAAUGGAUACCUUGGUUCAGAUACCAAUCACAGAAGAUCUAUGACAUGAGGUAGUUUGCUUCUUUCUUUUUGUGCAGAAAAAGUUUGCUACUUACUUGGAAGGAGACUGAGUCCCUCGCAGCCAAUGCAAUUAUAUCGGCGCAGGAGACGGUGUCGGGGCAAGUUUUCUCUAAUGCUGUCUUCACCUCAUCAAUGACAUCGAAGCCUGCUAGUGAUAAGUUUGGAGCGGCAUCCUUCUCAGCAGUACUGUUUGCAGUUGAGUUAAUAAGAACUGAAGCAUCACAGCCCUAUAUGCAUCAAGAACAAGGAUCUAGUAAGUAGAAUAGCCUUAGCUACGUAAAGGAUUGUAUAAGUUUAAGACUACAUCUAUAGAAGAGAAGUGGUGUUGUUUACAUGCAUUGAAUAAAUCUUCAUGCUAUGAUACAUUGAAUUUGGUGACACUAAAGAUUAUGAUCAAUUUAU
rnacentral:lncRNA from 1 species